CCUACGGGUGGCAGCAGUGGGGAAUAUUGGACAAUGGGCGAAAGCCUGAUCCAGCCAUGCCGCGUGUGUGAAGAAGGCCUUCGGGUUGUAAAGCACUUUCAGUGGGGAAGAAAGCCUUGGGGCUAAUACCCUCGAGGAAGGACAUCACCCACAGAAGAAGCACCGGCUAACUCCGUGCCAGCAGCCGCGGUAAUACGGAGGGUGCGAGCGUUAAUCGGAAUUACUGGGCGUAAAGCGCGCGUAGGCGGUCUGAUAAGCCGGUUGUGAAAGCCCCGGGCUCAACCUGGGAACGGCAUCCGGUACUGUCAGGCUAGAGUGCAGGAGAGGAAGGUAGAAUUCCCGGUGUAGCGGUGAAAUGCGUAGAGAUCGGGAGGAAUACCAGUGGCGAAGGCGGCCCUCUGGACUGACACUGACGCUGAGGUGCGAAAGCGUGGGUAGCAAACAGGAUUAGAUACCCUAGUAGUC
rnacentral:rRNA from 1 species